AAUAAUAUUUUAUGUGUGGAAAAUGAGGCUAUGGACUACGUUAUACUACAUGAUUAUGAUAACGAGUAUAUGAAGUGUGCUUAAGAAAUUAAUUAUGCGUAAAUGGUUAUUUGAUGAACUUAGUGAGAAGUUAAUUAUUUGAUUAUGGAUUAAGUGGAUGAAUUAUUUUGGAUGUCACCCCCCUAACGUGGCAGCAACUAGCAUGACAAAUUUAUAUAUAUUGUUAUGUGGCAUUCUUUAAUUAAAGGGAUUAGGAGUAGACAUCAUGAUUCCAUGCGUACACAAGAGGAUAAAAUAUUUGUGCUUUGUAAAAGAGUUGGAUUACAGCACAUGGUAUGUUUUAUCAUUACAUUAAGCUAGGCAUUAAAUUAAGGUUUCAUUGGUACUAUAGUGGAGGACAAAGUGGAUGUAUGCAGCAACAUAUGACUAUUGCUAUGUACUAGUGGACACGUUUUGGAAAUGAAUGGUAAGCAUGGAGUUAUUAAUUUUGUGGACCCAUUUAAAUCCCUUUACAGAUUUAAUAUUAUCACUUGUUAUUGAGGUGGAGCCAAUACGGGCAGAUUUUUCAAUAAUGACCCAACCAAUUCCCCAAAGUAAAGGAAAUUAGUAGAAUAAAAUCAAUUGACUAAAUACAACUAUAGAUUCAGAUUUCUUUUUCUUUUGUUGGGCUGGUCACGUGUAGGGCCUAGGGGGCUCAUAGAUGUAUAUCACCAAAUGAGUCAUCUUCCACCUUGUAGUUGAACACAUAAACAUUUUCUUGAAGUGAAAGCACAAAAAAGCCUCUCGGCCAAAGUUGCUUUUAGCCGAGCAAUGGAAGCUCGAUGGAGGGAAAUUAAUGCCUCAGAGUGUUGAAAUUAUUUAAGAAAUUAGCAAGGUUAAGGAGUCAAGUUGAUUAAGGAUAAGUGUUUUUGGGCAGCAAGUACAAGUUAUAAUACGACUAAACGCUAAAGGUACAGACGCUCAUUUCAGAGAUCCGCCAGCUUAUGAUACUUAUUCAGCUAUUUUUGACUGCUCCUUUGUUCCGGAGCCUAGCUUGUGGUAUAACUCCCUUAUGUUGAAUUCAUAUGUGUUUAUUUGGGUACGGCGGGGCCCUGUCCCGCCAUAUGAUACGGUCAUUACUCUUAGAGGUCUGUGGACAUCUGUGUGGGUCUGUAUAUAGUUGUUGUUGCGUUGUAUGAACAAGACUUAUGUUUGGGGCGUACCCAUUCGUGAUGGCAGCCUUGUCGGCGUGCAUUUUGUAUAUGUUUUGGGGUCGUUGUGCCAUUUGUUAGCCUUGUCGGCUUUUGAUACAUUUGAUAGCCUUGUCGGCUUUUGUUAUAUAUAUGGAUAUGGUUGUGCUAAAAUG